AUUGAACGCUGGCGGCAGGCCUAACACAUGCAUGUCGAGCGGAUGAGAAGAGCUUGCUCUUCGAUUCAGCGGCGGACGGGUGAGUAAUGCCUAGGAAUCUGCCUGGUAGUGGGGGACAACGUUUCGAAAGGAACGCUAAUACCGCAUACGUCCUACGGGAGAAAGCAGGGGACCUUUGGGCCUUGCGCUAUCAGAUGAGCCUAGGUCGGAUUAGCUAGUUGGUGAGGUAAUGGCUCACCAAGGCGACGAUCCGUAACUGGUCUGAGAGGAUGAUCAGUCACACUGGAACUGAGACACGGUCCAGACUCCUACGGGAGGCAGCAGUGGGGAAUAUUGGACAAUGGGCGAAAGCCUGAUCCAGCCAUGCCGCGUGUGUGAAGAAGGUCUUCGGAUUGUAAAGCACUUUAAGUUGGGAGGAAGGGCAGUAAGUUAAUACCUUGCUGUUUUGACGUUACCGACAGAAUAAGCACCGGCUAACUCUGUGCCAGCAGCCGCAGUAACAC
rnacentral:rRNA from 1 species